UACGGGGGGAGCAAGCGUUGUUCGGAUUUACGGGGCGUAAAGGGCGCGUAGGCGGCCACCGCAAGUCGACUGUGAAAUCUCCGGGCUUAACCCGGAAAGGUCAGCCGAUACUGCGGGGCUAGAGUGCAGAAGGGGCAACUGGAAUUCUCGGUGUAGCGGUGAAAUGCGUAGAUAUCGAGAGGAACGCCUGCGGCGAAGGCGGGUUGCUGGGCUGACACUGACGCUGAUGUGCGAAAGCUAGGGGAGCGAACGGG
rnacentral:rRNA from 1 species